rnacentral:tRNA from 1 species
GGGUGGAGCAGCCUGGUAGCUCGUUGGGCUCAUAACCCAAAGGCCGAGGGUUCAAGUCCUCCCCACCA